UACGUAGGCAGCAAGCGUUGUUCGGAGUUACUGGGCGUAAAGGGUGUGUAGGCGGCCUUUUAAGUUUGGUGUGAAAUCUCCCGGCUCAACUGGGAGGGUGCGCCGAAUACUGAAGGGCUCGAGUGCGGGAGAGGAGAGUGGAAUUCCUGGUGUAGCGGUGAAAUGCGUAGAUAUCAGGAGGAACACCGGUGGUGUAGACGGCUCUCUGGACCGUAACUGACGCUGAGACACGAAAGCGUGGGUAGCAAACAGG
rnacentral:rRNA from 1 species